GAUGAACGCUGGCGGCGUGCCUAAUACAUGCAAGUCGAGCGAACAGACGAGGAGCUUGCUCCUCUGACGUUAGCGGCGGACGGGUGAGUAACACGUGGAUAACCUACCUAUAAGACUGGGAUAACUUCGGGAAACCGGAGCUAAUACCGGAUAAUAUAUUGAACCGCAUGGUUCAAUAGUGAAAGACGGUUUUGCUGUCACUUAUAGAUGGAUCCGCGCCGCAUUAGCUAGUUGGUAAGGUAACGGCUUACCAAGGCGACGAUGCGUAGCCGACCUGAGAGGGUGAUCGGCCACACUGGAUCUGAGACACGGUCCAGACUCCUACGGGAGGCAGCAGUAGGGAAUCUUCCGCAAUGGGCGAAAGCUUGACGGAGCAACGCCGCGUGAGUGAUGAAGGUCUUCGGAUCGUAAAACUCUGUUAUUAGGGAAGAACAAAUGUGUAAGUAACUAUGCACGUCUUGACGGUACCUAAUCAGAAAGCCACGGCUAACUACGUG
rnacentral:rRNA from 1 species